UAUGUGAACCUGCGGAAGGAUCAUUAUAGAGAUAGGGUCUUUCAGGCCCGACCUCCAACCCUGUGUCUAUUUACCUUUCGUUGCUUUGGCGGGCCCGCUGGGGAAACCCACCGGUGGCCUUGGCUGCUGAGCGCCCGUCAUGGAAACAUCAAAACUCGAUUAAUCAUGCAGUCUGAGUACCAAUACAAUAGUUAAAACUUUCAACAACGGAUCUCUUGGUUCUGGCAUCGAUGAAGAACGCAGCGAAAUGCGAUAAGUAAUGUGAAUUGCAGAAUUCAGUGAAUCAUCGAAUCUUUGAACGCACAUUGCGCCCCCUGGUAUUCCGGGGGGCAUGCCUGUUCGAGCGUCAUUGCACCACUCAAGCUCAGCUUGGUAUUGGGCCUCCGUCCCCCCGCGGACGGGCCUGGAAACCAGUGGCGGCACAGCCCGGCUUCAAGCGUAGUAACUAAAACCGUCGCUUUGGAAGUCCCGGGCCUGGGCCUGCCAGACAACCCCCAAUCUUCUUAAAGGUUGACCUCGGAUCAGGUAGGGAUACCCGCUGAACUUAAGCAUAUCAAUAAGCGGAGGAAAAGAAACCAACAGGGAUUGCCUCAGUAACCGGCGAGUGAAGCGGCAACAGCUCAAAUUUGAAAUCCGGCCCUCCCAGGGUCCCGAGUUGUAAUUUGUAGAGGAUGCUUCGGGUUCGGCUCCGGUCUAAGUUCCUUGGGAACAGGACGUUCACAGAGGGUGAGAAUCCCGUACGUGACCGGCCGCCACGCCCGUGUGAAGCUCCUUCGACGAGUCGAGUUGUUUGGGAAUGCAGCUCCAAAUGGGUGGUAAAUUUCAUCUAAAGCUAAAUACUGGCCAGAGACCGAUAGCGCACAAGUAGAGUGAUCGAAAGAUGAAAAGCACUUUGGAAAGAGAGUUAAAAAGUACGUGAAAUUGUUGAAAGGGAAGCGCUUGCAACCAGACUUGCCCGCGGGUGAUCAGCCGGUAUUGUUACCGGUGCACUCGCCCGUGGUCAGGCCAGCAUCGGUUUGGGCGGCUGGACAAAGGCCUCCGGAAUGUAGCUCCUAUUCGGGG
rnacentral:rRNA from 1 species